rnacentral:hammerhead_ribozyme from 1 species
AUCCAGCUGACGAGUCUAGAAUAGAACGAAAAGCGCAUUCUGGAU